GCGCUACGGAGGCAGGGGCUCUUGGGAAAGAGCCGUGGACCCAGGGGUCUGAAGCCGGACUGCAGCCGCCCUUCUGGUCCCUCCCAGCCCUGACCUCCUGCCUCGUUCUGACAGUGACCUUGUCCUCUCGGAGUCCCAGCUGCGUGGAAGGAGGGAGCUGACUAAUGAUGACUCAGCCUGGACAGUCCCGACUUCCUCCUUCCUCAGACCGCACUCCAGGGCCUCUGCCUGCCCCACCAGGGAGAAGCGCUCCCCAGCCCUAAGGAAACGAAUCGGCUGACAGGAGGCACGCCUAACUCCUGAGACAUGUAGCCCAGCACGGAGAAGAUGGCGAAGCCAGCCAGGAUGCUGGUGACAGCGUUGCCCAGGGUGACGAUGAAGGUGUCUCUACCAGGAGAAGUCCAAUCACAGGCCAUGGUGAGCUGGCUGCACCCUCAACUGCCAGGCCCUCCCUGGCCACCAGGGGCUGGAGGCAGUGGGCACUGACCGGUAGAUGUUCUGGUGAAACGUGUUGUAGGAGGCAAAGGUGAGCAGACCCCCGAAGCCCACGCCCAGGGAGUAGAAGAUCUGCAGGGCAGCUUCGAUCCACACCUGUGCCAGGGAUGGAUGAGGGAGGGCAGAGAGGAAGGGCUGGCCCCAGGUGACAGGCGGAGUGAGGCGGAGCCUGGCUCCCAGGGGACAUCGGGCCUCAGCUGCCCACCCAGCAUCUGGAAAGGGGUCUCUAUCUUGGUCCAGUUCUGGAGGAAGCAAUGCCGGAGGCCCACUGUCCGGUGGAUUCGUGUGAACAAUGAGCCUGUGUGACCCAUUCAUUUCCUCCCUGGAGUCGGUCAGAGGGGCCUGGCAUUGGACCCCAGCCUUGCUGCUGUCCAGCUGUGCAGGCUGGCCAAGCCCCACCACCUUGCUGGACCAGAGGUCCCUGGUCCACAACAGGGCAGAUAGGAAGAGUGCCCGCCUCGUGCUGGCGGUGGGAGAGAUGACAUAAUGACUUAAAAUGCCUGCACAGAGUCAGCAUGCUCGCUGUCAGCGUUGUCACCAAGGUCUCCCUUGGGAUCUGGGAUCCGACACUCCCUGGCCGUGCGACCUUAAGCUUCCCAUGAACCCUUUGGGACCUCAGGUUCUUCCUUUGCAAAACGAAGAGAACAGCAUCUAUGUCAAAGGACGGUUGGACUCAGUGAAUGAGCCUGGCCCUGGGGCUGAGCACUGGGGGACUCCUGGCCCCUGCCCCUACUCCUCCCAGCGAACACGAUUGCCUGUCCUGGGCCCAGCCGACUCCUCCCUCUGCGCCCCAGCCCUCCUGAGGGUCUCACCUUGGAAGACAGCAGGUGGUGGAACUGGGGGGUGAGAUAGAACCGGAUGCCCUUCCAGGCCCCAGGGAGGGUGACUCCACGGACUAGCAGCAUGAGCAGGAUGAGGUAGGGGAACGUGGCUGUGAAAUACACCACCUGUGGGCGGCACACGGGAGCUCAUGGCAUGAGACGCUAGCUUCCCAUGCUGUACCUCUGCCCCAGACCCUGCUCAGUCCUUCGCCUCUCCAGCCUGGGGUGCUCCACGCCCGGAUCAUCGUCCAGGAUGCUCCUCCCUCCACUCUUUUGUCCUCCCUCCAUGCAUCUGGCCCGUCGUCGGCAGUUGCUUCCCAAGGCUGUCCCAAAUGCCCCUCCCUUGCCACUCUCUGGUCCAGGCCACCUCCUCCUCCAUGCCUGCCCCCCACCAAGCACUGCACGCGGCUGUCAGACACCUGACCUGCCCCAGCUGCUCGUGGUCCUCCCUCAUCCCCCUCCGCUCCAGCCACUCCCGCAGCAGGUGCAUUCCAGCCUCCACCUGCCCACUGCCCAGCUGUGACGCCGAGGACCCCUCAGCCCUCGCCAGAUGGCUCUCUCCUGUUCUGUGCUUUGAGUGGCUCUCCUUGUGCACGCCUCCCAGACAGCCCGAGGGCCCUUCCUGUGCCUCCACCCCCUAACAUGGACAUGCGUGGCUUCGUCUCCCAGUAUUCAGUCUGUCUGCUUCUGCUCACAGGGCCCCAACUUUCUCCAAACGACACUGAUCCUGUCCCCAGCCCCAGGGGUAGGCACGUGAUCCAGGCUGGGCUGAGCAGAGUGCUGCAGCCUCCCAGCCACAGACAGCGGUUCAGCCCCGCUGACCCAAGGAGACCGGAUUCCGGGACAUUUGCAAACUGGGCAGAGAGAGAACCCAGAGCAGCUAGCCUUGUGAAGAAGGAAGCCAGUGCAGAAGAGAGCGUUGCCCAGAGACCGAGAGAGGCAGAUUCCUGAGAGCAUCCAAGGAACCAGCAGCCCCUGCUGUGCCCGACACACACCCUCCAGGCGUCCAAGACUGUGACAACUGGACCCGGGUCACUCACAUCUCCGAGAGCCCUGAAUCAUACCCUUUCUCCCAUGUGAGCAAUUCCACAAACUCUGGAUGAACCCUCCAAGGUGCCUGCCUCCUCCAGGAAGCCCCCCCCCAGCCGACCCCCCCCCCAGCCUCCAGGGCCACCCCGACUUCACCUUGCCCGAGGACUUCACCCCCUUGAGGAUGCACAGGAAGACGAUGACCCAGGCCAGCAGCAGGCAGAGGCACAGGUUCCAGCGGAUCUGCCCGGGACUGCCGAUGCCCUGGCUGCCUUGGAUGUGGAGGACAUAGCGGCUGUGGGAGACAAAGGCCGGAGGGAGUGGCCCCCGCUGCCCUGCUCUGUAGAGCAGGGUUCAGGGCUCCAGCCCUCUCCACCCUUCUGCCUAGGCUCUGCUCCUGGGAGGAUGGCCUCUCCUGCCCCAGCAUCCAGCCUCCCUUCCUCCUGGGCUCCCACUUGGGUUUGGCGACAGCAGGAGACUGGAGGGUGGGAGGAAUGAGGGUUCUGGGUGUUUGCAUGCACAAGUACACACCCCAUUGGGGGGCUGGCCAUGGCUGUGCGUUUCUGCAGCCACUGCCCUCGGUGGGCAUCCCCUCUCCCACGGUUUCCUUCGCCCCUCGUCCCUCGCCUGCCUCCUUGGUUUAGAGGCACUAACAGUGCUUCCCACUGCUGGUCACUGAUGGAGCCUUUGCUAAACUGGCUGCAGUUAAGCCCUCUUGCCAGUGCUGUGUGCCUCCUGCCUGCAACCCAGGCCGAGGCAGUGGGCCGUGGCAUCGCCAUGGAGACGUCACAUCAAGUUCCUGGGCUGCAAGCUGCAGACACGCUCGUCAGCGGGUGCAGGCACUGCAGAUGGACUUGAACUGAGCAACCGAGUGAACUGCGCAGCGCAUGCGUGCUGGAGACACAGGGCCCACCGGGGGCAAAAUCCCAAAGAGCAGCCCUUUGCAGGUGCAGGAAUAAGGCUCUCGGAUCUAGGUUCUCUGGGCAGCCCAAGUCCCAACUCGGGAACCAGGCAGGCCACCUGAGAAAAUUCCAGAACAGGAUCAGGAAUCAGGAGUCCUUGAUGUCAGCACUCACUACUAAGCAAGCUCUGGACUCGUUUUCUGAGCUGUCGAGUGGGGAAGGGGACAGGCUGAGGACUAGCCGGGCCACCAGACACCCAGCAUUCCCGGGGCUCACAGGGCGCCUGGCGCUGUGAUAACCAUUUCACCCGCGUUGCCUUGGGUAAUGCUCACAUCCAGCCCUUACUCUGCGAUCGGCUCGUCUCUCCUGUUAGACUAAGCUGAGAUCAUCUACAUCCCCGUGCUGCCAAGUGCUUUCCGCCUGUGGAUACUGUAGCUGCUGCUCACGAGUGAAUGACCGCGUCAAUGGCUGGACUGCUUCCUAGAGGUGGAUGCUACGAUCAGCCCCGUGACAGAUGCCAGGGUGUCGCCAUCACUGGCAGCAACAGCUGGUCCUUGCUGAGCACGUACGAACCCCUACACGGACCGCACAAUUUGUAUGCACCUCUUCCUUCCCACCUCACCACAGCCUUCUGAAAUCAUCGCGCUCAUCAUCCCUAUGCUAAAGACAAAGCAGCAGAAGCCAAGUCCAAGUUCAAGAUCAGGCAGCUGGUCGGGUGAAGUGCUGGGGGUAGGAUGUGGGGUCCACUUGGACCAGCACUGCACGCAGCUUUCUGGGCCCCCCUGCAGAGUCUCCGCACCCCCUCCCCACACCCCCAGACAGCUGCCGGCCCAGGCCCCCUGACCUCCAGUACUCCUCGCUGGGGCUGACGGUGCUGGUGAGGUUGAGGGGCAGCGCCCCGUUGCGGUCCUGGGCCCCCCUGUGCUCGUGGCAGAGGUCUGUGUUCCACCAGUUGCCACAGUGCUCCCAGGGCAGGUUGCUGGUGAGGGAGGCGAAGAGGUAGAAGAGCACGUAGGCGAUGAUCAUGUUAUAGUAGAUGGCCACCAGGCCUACAAUGAGCAGCAUGGCCGCGCCAGCACCUGCGGGGCAGCGUGGGAGGCUGUGCUGUGGGGCCUCCAGCAGGCUCCACGUUUCUGAGCUUCUCUGGGCUUCUCGUCCCUGCCUGCCUGGAACUCGAGGGGGUGGGAUGGGGUGUGUGCCACCACGGAGGCCUCACCUUUGAAGAGGGGGCUGAUUUUCCACACGGCCAGGGGUCCCAGGCUGGAGAACUGACCCAGGGCGAGCUCCAGGAAGAAGAGGGGGAUGCCGCAGAUGGCCAGCAUGAGGAAGUAGGGCACGAGGAAGGCACCUGCGAGGACGAGGAGGAGGAAGGCCGUGGGGAGGUCUCAGGCGGGCCAGCUCGCAAGCCCUCCUCCCCGGCAGAUGCCACCUGCCCGUCGGAGGGAGCACCUCUCAUGGUGGUGGGGACCCCGAGCCUGCAGCUCUGUUUUCUCUUUCACAGCGGAUAAGCAAGGGCCACUGGCAGGGACCGCUCACCUCAGUCACCCCAGUGCCCAGAAGAGGGCCAGGCUGAGAGCAGACGCAUGAGAAACGCCUGCUGGGUAUGAGUGAGUGUGGGGAGGAACAAGUGGACUCCCCCACCUCCUGCCCCCAGGAAAAGGCGACCGGUGCAGCCCUUGGGGAUCCAGCUGCAAUCCACCCCUCCCCCUCCCCAGUCCCUCUGUGCCUCCUCCCAUCGGGUGACAGCCACCUGUGGUUUCCUGGGCCUCCCAGCCCCUCCCCUUUUCUUCUCAUAUUGGCAGUCAUCGGCAUCGCCUUCAGAGAAGUGCCCACUGCCAUAUGGCUCUGGAACGGCUGCCAGGCCCAGCAGCCCAGCCCCUGCUGCCCUCCCGCCCGCCUCCACAGCCUGCCCGGAGCCACCAAUCGCAGGCCUUCUCUGCGGCUCUGUACGCAUUCAUUCAGAUCUUGCUGGACCGCCCUGGGGCUGCUCAGCCAGGCCGAGGCCAGGUUGAAGUCACUCGGGAGUCGCCUGUGGCCACCCCCACCCCAACUGCAGGGAGAAAAUGAGGUCACUACAGAGAGACAAAGAGCCCGGAGCCAGCCAUGGAUGACAUCGCGUUCCUGGAGGGUCCGGGCUGGCUCCACCCUGCACUUCCCAGUCACACAAACACACCCUCUCUCUGCCCCGUCUAGCUUUGUGCGGCUCUCACUUCGUCCGCGCGCACUGCCUGAACAACUCUGGUAGAGAUAGUGGCGGGAACACACUGGGCCUGGAGAAGAGAGUCUGGGCUGUGGCGUGGGGUCUGCCGCUGUGCGACCUCGGCCAAGACCCUUGGCCUCUCCUAGCCCUGGCUGGCUCAGCACUUGUAUGGUGCGUUUGCACGAGGGCUGUCAUCGGGGUUGAACGAGAUGGGCACGCAGCCCAGGGCUGGCAGGCAGUAAGUGCUCAACCCUAGCUCCUGGGAACGAGACUCAGAACAGCAGCUUGAUGGGGAGAGGGACAAAGAUGGGGGAGUGUGUGUUUGUGUCAGAAUGGAAGGAACUGGGGAGGAAGGGGACUGAAGAUGCUGAAAAGGGAGUGAUGCAGGGAGCACGGCUCUGGAGGGGGUGGAGGGAGGCAAGUGCCCAGCCCGAGGGAGAAAACCACGUGGGCAGCCAUCUGGGCGUGAGAGGGAAGGCAGAGGGGCUUGUGAUGGAAGGGACAGGAGGAUAAGCCCAGGCCACUGCGAACCACUUUCAACCAACUGUGUCCAAGGUAACGGACAGUGGCCAAGGCCACGGAAAGCUCCCUCUGCCCCUCCCCCCAGGCGCCCCCGGAGGGACCUCACCCCCACCUCCUCCGUUGGUGUAGGCUCGGUAGGGGAACCGCCACACGUUGCCCAGGCCGACGCAGUAGCCAAUGCAGGAGAGCAGGAAGUCCAGCUUGCCCGUCCAGUUUCCCCGGUCUGCAGCCAAGUCCAUGUCCAGGUCCACAUCCCCCUGGUCACUGGGGGUCAUCAGCAGGUCUGGGGUGAUGGGCUUCCAGGAAGAGAGACCGAAGGGGAGAGGGAGAAGGGUGAGGCCAGGCUGGACAAGAAUUUGGAACUGAGCGGGGCUGAACGGGAAACACAAGUGCUGGUAUCUGGGCUGCACGAGCCAUGUGCAGGAGCCCCCAUGGGUCAGCAGGGUGUGUUGGCAUUAAGAAGACUACCUUGACCUUAGCUCGGCUGACACAGAGGUCAAAGCCAAGGGCUGGCCCUAAGGAUGAAGAUGAUGAUCCUAGUAACCAUUACUGGUUAUGAAGCACUUGCUAUGUGCUCACCACACCACUUCAUUCAUGUUGCCUGGUUUCAUUCUCAAAACAACUCUGAAAAAAAUAUAUGUACAUAUUUGAAAAGGGUGGUUGUUUAGCCUAACAGUUAAGGUGCCCAUGUCCUACCUCAGAACACCUGGGUUUGCUACCUGGCUCCAGCUCCUGACUCCAGCUUCCUGCUAGUACAGAUUCCAGAAGGCAGUGAUAAAGGCUCGAGGAAUUGGGUCCUGCACCCACUUGGGAGAUCUGGACUGAGUACCUCACCCAGCCCAGUCCUAGCCAUUGCGGGUAUUCGGGGAAUGAACCAGUGCAUGGGAUCUGUCUCACCUGCUCCCUCACUCUCUCAAAAACUAAACCAGAACCACAACUCAGUGCGCAGGUGCGCAUCUAAGCUCCAUUUGAGUCACAAGGAGAGCUGAAGCUCAAGAGGCCUCAUGCUUAGCGAGCUUGUAGCAGGUUGCCUUGUGGAGGAGCUGGAUUUGGAGCCCAGGGCUUCACCCUCCACUGCUGGAGUUCUGCUUCAGCUGUGGACACAGGGUAAGGCGUGUCCAGAGGCAGGCGGCCAGACAGGAGGGUGUUCGGGAAAGAGGCCGCAGGAGACAGGGGAUGAAGCCAGGGGCCCUUAGCAUAGCAAAGGCUUGGAGGGCAUGGGAGGGCCCCUGAGGGAGGCCUUAAGAGGCCCACUGAGGACUGUGAACUUUGGCCCAUGGGCAGGAAGAAGCCACUGAAGCCUGAUCUGUCUUGGAAAGUCAGUCCUGCUAUCCCCAGAGGAGACGAGAGCACAGGAGAGUGGAGGCUGCUGUCUGCACGACUCCAGGACUUAUCACACCCUGUAGUGGCCCAGUCUGCACAGGGACUCUCCCAAGAGGACCGGAACAGAGCAUCCCAACUUCCUUUAAGAAACAGUUCUCAAGGGACCAGCCUGCUGGGACGGGAUGGACCUGGGGAGAGGUGGGUUCACACCAUCUCUCGUGGGUUUCUGGCUCUGACAGUCUCUGGAGCAGGAUUACCUGUGCAUUCUAUGGGACACUUGUGGCGUCUGAGGAGCAGCUCAGAGCUGGCCAAGGGCCUCCCCCUAGGAUGGUGUCAGCAGGGGGUGACAGAGGAGGCUUUGCCGGGGUAAAGAUGGUGAAAGGAGAGGAGGGCUGCUGUGUUACAGGCCUGCAGGUGCCGGCUGAAGGGCAGGGCAAGGGCGAGGGCUCAGGUGACAGCAAUGGGAUAACAAUGAUGGGCUGACCCUCAGGGACCUCCAUGGUGAACUUGUCUGGGGCUGGCUGUUGGCCCCUGGGGACAGGGACAGCCUGGCAUGAUUCCGGGUGUCAGUGACAACAAAAAGAGAAUGAAAAAGCCACUUCGAAAGCAACGAGGCUCCAAGGGCGGAAGCACACAUGCACCUGGCAGUUCUUCGGCUGGGAUCUCGGACACGCCAGAGCUCCCAGACUUAACCUGCAACCCCCCUCCCUCCCGAUGGCCCAUUUCCCAAGGCUGUCUCUGCAGCUGGGCUGCAGCUCUGGCUCCCAGGUGAGCUCCAGGAGGGAUGGGCAGCUGCCAGCUGACACUGGCCCCUGGCACUGGGUGGUGAGGCAGGGCUGUCACCCUGAGACCCCCUGCCCAGCCAGGCCAGCUGGCGAGAGGGUGUGGUAAUGAGGCUCCUCUGAUCCCCCCAGAGAAGCUGCCCUUUCCCUGCUCACAGAGCGGGUCUGGCUCUCUGUUUCCAUGGUGACAAGAGUUCCAAGAGCAGGAUGCUGCCUGCUCGUCCCCUCCUCCCCCAAUCACAGGGAAGCCUGCUCCUGCUCCAAGAGCAGGGGAUGGGGUCGGCCAAAGCUAAGCCAAUCAGGAGGGCACCAGAGCUGCCAACCCUCCUAUGGGUGACUCCCAGGAGACCAGCUCAGCCAGGAUGGGGCAGGGUUAGGAAUUGAAUGAGACACUUCACACUUCCACCUGGGUGUGCCGAUCCCACACCUGAGCCCUCCUCCCCACCUCAGGGUCAUGCAGGAGCACGCGCCUAAUCUUGCCAGGUUGCACCCACCCCACAGCAGCGGCAACGAGAGGGGCCGGGCUCCCAUGGGAAUCCUGAGUCCAACUUCAUCAUUGUGCAGGUGAGGAACCCGGGUUUCCUUCAGGGAGAGGAAGGAGUAGCCCAAGGUCACGCGGCACAUUAAGGGCAGAGCAAGACGAGGGCCCACACUCAUCCCUGAGCGACGCUGCCCCUCUGCUGGUCCCUGGCACUACUCGCUCCCUGCCCCCCUCUCCUGGAGACCAAGCCAGGGGACCCUGAAACAGGUGGCCCCACCCAGCCUGUUGGUUCCAGCAGCUCACAAUCAGGGAAGCAAUCGCCUCACUUGUCCUUGCCUCGGUUGCUGUGUUUAUAAAGUGGGGACCACAGGCUGGCCCUAGGUUGCUGAGGGAUUAAAUGACACAGCUCGCUAAGCCCGCAGCCUGGCACCCCUGCAGCACAGAACAUGGCUAUUGACAUAAUGUGUGGCCCAGCAGGGUAGGCCAGGGGCUCUUGUGGGGAGGGAGAGCAAAGAGGGGAGAUGAGGGUGGGGAAGAAUAGGGACAGGGCCCAAGAGACGCACAGAUGGCCCCCAGAAGUCACCAUGUCCACAGUGAAGAAGGUCCACUUAGCCCUGCUUCUGGAGGGCAGGAAGCUUGCUCUCUCUCUCUCUCUCUCUCUCUCUCUCUCUCUCUCUCUCUCCCUCUGUGUGUGUGUGUGUAUGUAGGAAAUCCCAGCUCCUGUGGAGGGCUUCCCCCAGCCCUGCUAGUCCACAGCGCUCUGGCCCCUUCCACAGGCACACUCAGCGGGGGGCCUCAGGGCUCCACACUGGGGAUGACCAAGGGAGGUUCGGACCAGAGAACAGACUUGGCCAAAGUUGCAGACCCAGACUCCUUGGUGAGGGCUGGCACUUUUAAGCCAAAAACCAGAAAGCUUCCCCCAGUCCUCCCACUCCUCACACUCCCUCACCUAAACUUGGCUGGGAAGUCCAAGCCAGGUGGGGAGAGGCUGAGAUCUAGCCCAGCACCCCAGCCCCCUCUGGGUCUUCCAGCUCUACCUGCCACAUCCUUGGGGCUCCCAGCCUCCCUCCCCACCUUUGCCUCCUACAGCCCUGCUGGGGGGCAGCCUGGGGGCUCAGCAGGGAAGCGAAAGCUGCCAGGCAAAAGGAGGGGGUGGGGAGGAAGUGACAAUGGCCUUCAGGGUGGAGCAGGCAGGAAACAGGGGUCCCCUGCAGGCUAGUGGGGGCUGCUUCAGUUGAGAGUACACAGGUGGGGACAAGGUGGAUACCCCCAGCUUCCACUCACGAUCCCCCAAAUUCAUCCAGUUCGAGGCUGGUGCUCAGCCAUUGUAGCACCCCUUUCGCCAAGCGAUCAGCCCCUGGAGGAUGUGGGGGGCGGUGGGGAGAGGGGAGUGCCCGGCCCCAGCCAGCCCUGCCCAGCACCACCUGGGGCUGCAGACACCUGUUGGCAGGGUCUGGCCCAGGAAAGCAGGGUCUCCAGCUCGUGCCAUUUGGACCCCAGGUGAGGAGCAAUGUGGGCGGGCUAUGGGGGCUGGGAGGAACCGUGACCCCGCCCCUCCCUGUAAUCGUGCCCUGGCGACCCUCAACUCCGCUCCCCCGCCCCCAGCGGGUUCUGGUGCCCCCUCUCCGGCCUUCCUCGGGGACUCAUGGGCGCGGGCUUCUGCUGCCCUCCCUCAGGUGCGCCUCCGCCCUCAUGCCCUACCUUGCGGAGGUGAGCUCCCUGGAGCUUCUUCAUU